UAAGGAAUAUUGGUCAAUGGAGGCAACUCUGAACCAGCCAUGCCGCGUGCAGGAAGAAGGCCCUAUGGGUCGUAAACUGCUUUUGAACAAGAGAAAACCCCGGUACGUGUACUGGGUUGAUAGUAUUGUUAGAAUAAGCAUUGGCUAACUUCGUGCCAGCAGCCGCGGUAAGACGAAGGAUGCAAGCGUUAUCCGGAUUCAUUGGGUUUAAAGGUGCGUAGGCGGACUGAUAAGUCAGUGGUGAAAUCUCUCGGCUUAACCGAGAAACUGCCAUUGAUACUGUUAGUCUAGAGUACAGAUGAUGUGGGCGGAAUAUGACAUGUAGUGGUGAAAUACUUAGAUAUGUCAUAGAACACCGAUUGCGAAGGCAGCUCACAAAACUGUAACUGACGCUGAGGCACGAAAGUGCGGGGAUCAAACAGGAUUAGAUACCCACGUAGUCCCUGAGCGGGCUGGCAAGGCGCAU
rnacentral:rRNA from 1 species